rnacentral:lncRNA from 1 species
CCUUGUGCCUUCUUAAAUUGUUAUUUCUUGCAUAAUGACUACACGUGACUGCCUGGCUGACUCUUGGCUGGCUGGGUUUGGGCUGGUUGACUCACAGCUGAUUGGCUGUUGGCAGGCUGAGUUUGGGCUGGUUGACUCACAGCGGGUUGGCUCACAGCUGGCUGAGUUUCAGUUGGUUGACUUACAGCUGGCUGGCUCACAGCUGGUUGGCCUGUGGCCGGCUGAGUUUGGGCAGGUUGACUCGCAGUUGGUUGGCUCACAGCUGGUUGGCUCACAGCUGGCUGAGUUUCGGUUGGUUGACUCACAGCUGGUUGACCUGUGGCUGACUGAGUUUGGACAGGUUUACUCACAGUUGGUUGGCUCACAGCUGGUUGGCUCACAGCUGGCUGAGUUUCGGUUGGUUGACUCACAGCUGGUUGGCCUGUGGCCGGCUGAGUUUGGGCAGGUUGACUCGCAGUUGGUUUGCUCACAGCUGGUUGGCUAACAGCUGGCUGAGUUUGGGCUGGCUGACUCACAGCUGGUUGAUUCUUAGCUGGCUGGGAUGCAGUUGGCUGAGGUACCACAGGUGCCACUUGGUCUACUAUUGACAAACACACAUGGACAUAUUUUAAAUUUAUAAAAAUACAAAAAUUAUUUCCAAAAUAUAUCAUAUAUAAAUAAAUAUAAUUUAAAUAACACAUUUUUAUACGUGCAUUUUAUAUUAUAUCAUAAUUGUUAUAUUUGUUUCUAUGAUCUUUAUUGUUUAUCUUUGUGGAACAUCUUAGUGCGGAUAUAUUACUAGCAAAUUCACAUCAAUGCAGCCAUAUUAAUUCAGAUUUACUAGUCAAAGUAGUCACAUUAUGAGUGACCUGUAUUAUUUAACUGAUGUGUACUUGUAAACAUAUCAGGGUAUAGUCUCCAUUUUACAUUAAUUGUCUGGAAGUACUGAUUUACCUCCACUCCUGCACAUGUUCUUGAACUUUGCUCUCCACGCUGGAGUUUUUUGAAAUGCAUUGUACAGAUAAGGGAUUGAAAUACAUGCACAAACUACCAAACUCAAAUAAUAAAAGAUAACAAGUCAUUCACAUUUAUCUGCAUACCACGCUUUCCAAAAACUGUAAGUCUGCGUUGCCAAGACAACAAAAUAAUCAGCCGUUUAGGAAGAUGCUAAUUCGUUAAUGCUUUCCCCUGGGCCUUUUUAUAGUUAAAAUUUAUAUAUAUUUAUAUAUUUUUUUCCACUUUCAAUUUUUAUUUGAUUUUAAACAAGAAUAUUCAUAUGUACAAAUUCCCGAAUAGAAUUAUCCUUAAUGUGCAUAGUAGUACAUCAAAAACAAAGAUCAAAAAGUUGUAAUCCUAUUAUUAGGUGCAUAUUUAAUUUUGUAUAAAAGUAUUGCACGUGCGUUAUAAAUUGGUGAACAUUUAAAUCAAUACAUUAACAUAAAAGUCACUAAAACAAUUACGAAAACAUUAAAAAAAAACAUAAGAACACAAGACACCUGUGGAAGGUAGCAAAAAAGAUAAACCAAUACUCAGGAGCCAUAUCCUAGCAUUAUAUAAGAGGAAUAUUAGUAGUAAGCUAUCCAAGAUUCUUCUGGCAUUUUCAGGUGCUAACAUUAUCCCAUUACUGAAGUUGUUUUUCUUGUUUUGUGAUCUAAAUGAUGAUCUUUAUUGAUCCUAAUUAAAAGCACUAAUUCAAAGAACGUAAAAGCCCCCUGUCAAGCUAUAUAGAGACCUUGAGUCUAUUAUACGGCUUGCAUUGCAUUAAAUAUUCCAACGACCAUAGCCAAAUUUGUUUAUAGCUGACAAGGCAUUUAUGCAACUAAAUGACUUUGUUGUGAUGUCUAAAUUCAAAUGCAUAAAGCCAGCUGUCCAAUGGGAAUUCACGUUUCAAGUCCAGUAAUUAGUAUGGAACUACAAAGUAUCUCCAUCUGAAAACAAUAUGGUGGGCCAUAAACAAAAAUCGUAGCCAUAGCUAUGACAGUGGCAAACCUUCAGAACAAAGGGAGAUUGCAAAAUUUAAGGGACAUACUUUGACAUCUUUGCUCAAAAACCAAGAUACAUUAAAAACUCGAAAGACAUACAGGUUUCUUUUAAGAUGCAACUGUAUCAGGUAUGAAAAAACAUUUAAUGCAAGCCAUUUUUCUAUUUAUUUAUUUUUCAUAGUGAAUAACUUACCUUGUGGUGUACUGCUAUCCUUCUUUGUGUCCUCUUGAUGGCGCUUCUCAUAAUAACUGACAUCUUUUGGUUGAUCAUUCUGUUGACUUUGACCACCUAUGGCUCCAGACAUGACUUUGAACUGGCCUGUUCAAAUCCAAAUUGAGUAACAAUAAAUGAAUGUUUGACUUUUCUCCACAACGCAGCCUCUUUUAUACUCACUAAUGGAUACGAGAUGUCAGAUUAUGUCAUUAUAUUAUGCAUAUAUUUGGGAUAAUUUUUUCAAGAUUGACAACAUUGUUUCACAUCCCUUUUGACAGAUGUUCCACCCUCAAACCCCCUUCAAUUGCUUCACCAUUUCAUGAUUCACCAUGACCUUUGUGUCCCUUACAUUGUUCUCCAAGAUAUUUGAAGAAUAUAACAUUGUGGGAUUUUGGGAGGACUCAGCAUCUCCCCAAUCAAUAAGGUGAGGUCAGUUAGAUCAUAAAGCAAAACACAUUUGCACUUUACUGUAUGUCACUAUUAUUUGGUAAUUAUACUAUUUCAAAGUAAUUUAUUCAGCAAUAUAUUUGUUUUACUACUAAUAAUAAUGAAAUUAAAAUUGUAUAUAAUUUUUUUAUCACUAUGCAAUGUAAGUGUUAAUUAUCAAUGUGAAUUUCUCUUUUUUGAGAUAACCUAAGAAAAUGAAUUUUGCCUCCAAGAAGAGGUUCAUUAUUUAAUUUCUCUGUCACAAAAAAAUGUGUGCCAUUCUUUUUUUUUUACAAUUGAUUUUUUUAUUUUAUUGAAUUUUCAGAUAAUUGGGGUACAGAACAAGAGAAGGAAGGGAGAGUUGUCAAUAAUUUGCAGAUUCCGAUGUUCAAUUUGGGUACAGAACAGAAAAAGAAAGGGAAGGGUACGACAUCAAUACAUUUGCAGUUUGAACAAUAAACCAUGUUUGGCAACGCAGUGCCUUCGUUAACAUUGCAGAAGUAUAGCCUCUUUGAUGGUAUUGUUAUCUGGUGUAUGCAUUCCGUUGCCUGAACUAUAUAAGAAUAUUCACGCAGUUGUUCGUUACAUGGCAUUCUUAAUUCUACACUGAUUUUCGGCCUCUACUGACUUGGUGCCCCAAAUUUCCCCGAUUCAUAAUGUUGCUAUGAUUCUCGUGGUACCCUGUCCUCCUCUAUCUUGAUCCUUUCCGUAUAUUCUACCCACCACUGUUUGGCUUUAAACAUGUGUUGCAAUGUGCCAUAUUUUGUGUUAAGCUUUGUUUCAUAUUCUAUGUUAGUGGUUAUUUGGCUAAUUAGGACAAGGACUUAAUUCAGAGCUGGAUUACCGGUUAGGCAAACAAGGGGGCCGCCUAGGGCCCAGGUUCAGACAGUUUAAAAAGCUAAUUUAUUAAAUUAGUGAUCUAUAUUCACACAGAUGUUCUUUCAUAUCAUGAAUGCUGGCAAAGUCCUUAGUUCUUAUAUCCUGGCUUUGCAUGUCCUGGGGUUGUCUGGGUAGCGGCUGGAAGACUUGGCUAAAAUGGAGCUUGUUGACUUGAGACUGGCUGACACGGGACAGGUUGGCUCUGGGCUGGUUCUGGCAUAACAGGGUUCAAAAAGGCUGUUAAUGGAAAAUAAACUUAAAAACUUGACGGCUGUAUGUAAAUUCUAUAGAUUGCCUUAAUCAAACUUGGUCUUUGUUAAAAUUGUGUGAUAGAAACAUAUGCUUAUAUAUUUGAGAGAGAGAGAGCGCGAGGGCGAGAGAGGAAGAAAUUUAUAAUUGUCACUAAGUGGUUUAAUUAAUAAGAGAUUUUGUUCUGUUUUGUUUUGUUUUUUGCAAAUCCAAUGAGGGAGAUUUUCUGUGUCCAUAUGUAUUUUGAUGACGACUAUCGGAUGAUUAAAUUAAGAUCAAGGCAAUUUAUGUCAAUGCUAAACAACAACCCACAGUCACUUGUGUAUACAAAAUAGAGGAUACCAGAGUGUUUAGUAAAUUAGUCAGUUUUUAUAUGAUAUAUAGGUCUGGGAUGUAUCCAAUCCUAUUUAAGAGGUAAAUAGGAAUUAAAGAAGUAUUUAGAUAUGUCAUAAUAGAGGGCUCAAGAAAAAGAAGAGUGACUCCUAACUUAUAAUGAAGUUGAAGAGGGCAAGAAGGGAAGAAAAGGGAACGGAAAGGCAGGGCCGCCAUCAGGGGGUGACAACCGUGAUGGUUGUCACGGGCCCGGUGGCCCUGGGGGCCCGGCCGCCCGGGCCCCAUGUGGAGCGGCGAAACUGCCGCAGAUGCAUCUGCACCGGGGCCCACCAGGUGGCCCAAGCAUUUAGGGCCACCCGAUGGGCCCUGUAUCUUCAGGGGCCCGGUCAGCGCUGCGCCGGGUGAUUGCGCGACCGGGCCCCUUUAAAAAAAAAUUAAAAUUGCGGCUAAACACCGCAAGUGCUGCUGGGAGGAAGUGAUGGCCGGUCACUUCCUCCCAGCUUACUCCGCGCAGGGAGAGAGCGGAGGAGAGGAUAGGACAGGGACACCAGAGGCAUCCACUCCCAUCAUCCCCAGCCACCCUCCUGCAACUUAAAGGUAAGAGGAGGGUGGCUGAUAAAUGAGGUGUGUGUGUGUCUGCAAGUAUGUCUGUAUGUCAGUAUGUCUGUGUGUAUGUCUGUCUGUGUGUGUGUGUGUAUGUCAGUAUGUAUGUAUGUCUGUGUGUNNNNNNNNNNNNNNNNNNNNNNNNNNNNNNNNNNNNNNNNNNNNNNNNNNNNNNNNNNNNNNNNNNNNNNNNNNNNNNNNNNNNNNNNNNNNNNNNNNNNUAUAUAUUUUUUUCCACUUUCAAUUUUUAUUUGAUUUUAAGCAAGAAUAUUCACAUAUACAAAUUCCCGAAUAGAAUUAUCCUUAAUGUGCAUAGUAGUACAUCAAAAACAGAGAUCAAAAAGUUGUAAUCCUAUUAUUAGGUGCAUAUUUAAUUUUGUAUAAAAGUAUUGCACGUGCGUUAUAAAUUGGUGAACAUUUAAAUCAAUACAUUAACAUAAAAGUCACUAAAACAAUUACGAAAACAUUAAAAAAAAAACAUAAGAACACAAGACACCUGUGGAAGGUAGCAAAAAAGAUAAACCAAUACUCAGGAGCCAUAUCCUAGCAUUAUAUAAGAGGAAUAUUAGUAGUAAACUAUCCAAGAUUCUUCUGGCGUUUUCAGGUGCUAACAUUAUCCCAUUACUGAAGUUGCUUUUCUUGUUUUGUGAUCUAAAUGAUGAUCUUUAUUGAUCCUAAUUAAAAGCACUAAUUCAAAGAACGUAAAAGCCCCCUGUCAAGCUAUAUAGAGACCUUGAGUCUAUAAUACGGCUUUCAUUGCAUUAAAUAUUCCAACGACCAUAGCCAAAUUUGUUUAUAGCUGACAAGGCAUUUAUGCAACUAAAUGACUUUGUUGUGAUGUCUAAAUUCAAAUGCAUAAAGUCAACUGUCCAAUGGGAAUUCACGUUUCAAGUCCAGUAAUUAGUAUGGAACUACAAAGUAUCUCCAUCUGAAAACAAUAUGGUGGGCCAUAAACAAACAUCGUAUCCAUAGCUAUGACAGAGGCAAACCUUCAGAACAAAGGGAGAUUGCAAAAUUUAAGGGACAUACUUUGACAUCUUUGCUCAAAAACCAAGAUACAUUAAAAACUCGAAAGACAUACAGGUUUCUUUUAAGAUGCAACUGUAUCAGGUAUGAAAAAACAUUUAAUGCAAGCCAUUUUUCUAUUUAUUUAUUUUUCAUAGUGAAUAACUUACCUUGUGGUGUACUGCUAUCCUUCUUUGUGUCCUCUUGAUGGCGCUUCUCAUAAUAACUGACAUCUUUUGGUUGAUCAUUCUGUUGACUUUGACCACCUAUGGCUCCAGACAUGACUUUGAACUGGCCUGUUCAAAUCCAAAUUGAGUAACAAUAAAUGAAUGUUUGACUUUUCUCCACAACGCAGCCUCUUUUAUACUCACUAAUGGAUACGAGAUGUCAGAUUAUGUCAUUAUAUUAUGCAUAUAUUUGGGAUAAUUUUUUCAAGAUUGACAACAUUGUUUCACAUCCCUUUUGACAGAUGUUCCACCCUCAAACCCCUUCAAUUGCUUCACCAUUUCAUGAUUCACCAUGACCUUUGUGUCCCUUACAUUGUUCUCCAAGAUAUUUGAAGAAUAUAACAUUGUGGGAUUUUGGGAGGACUCAGCAUCUCCCCAAUCAAUAAGGUGAGGUCAGUUAGAUCAUAAAGCAAAACACAUUUGCACUUUACUGUAUGUCACUAUUAUUUGGUAAUUAUACUUGUUGGGGAUAAAAUCAGCCUGGCCCUUUGUGGAUGAUGGAUAUUUGCCAACUCAUACAGAGCUCUGGAAAUUGGAAAUGAAUAGCAGAGACGUGUUCAAUAACCAAUUCAAAUUGUAUUCAUACGUCAGUUAUAUUUAUACCCCUUUUUCAUAGCAGGAUGGGAGUGGGAAAAAUGAGCAUAUGGGCGUGACAAUGACAUUGUUUUUCACAAGUUAUAAACAUCUGUUUUUAGUUAUAAUUCGAUGUUACAUAAUGUAUGCAUAUUGGAUAAAACCCAGAUGAUUACAAAUACCGAAAUCUUGGACAAUUAACAAGGUCAUUCCAGAAUCCUUAUCAUGUCAUGUCAUGUCAUGUAAAUAACAAAAUCAUGUUCCAAUAACAUCUCCCGUAAAUAGAUAAGUCAUUGUGACAUGAGAUACAAUUCAAAAUUUAUUCUUGAUUCAAAUUAACCCUUACAUGAACAGUUAGGAUAUAGAGCAAAAUGGAUAUUCAUAUCCUACAAUUCCUCUCUUUAGAUCAUAUCGUGAUCUACCUUAUGGAAUAUCCAUGGGAGGCCUGCGGCAGAGAAACGAAAGGAGGUAUAUUCAGGCGUGCUAAUCACGUCUGCGGGACUUUCCUUAUUUCUUCACCUCGAUUUCCCCCAUUUGCUCUAUGCCGUAGGUUUUCCCUUUAAGAGGAGAUCGAGCUGUCGAUUUUCAGCUUCUGUAAUCAUCUGUUGUACACAUCUUUUAAGUGUACAAGUUAAAUAUUUCAAACAGCUGACAUCUUAACCAAUUUUAAACAUACUGCACAUCAUGUUAUCUGUAACUUGAGCCUUGGAUCAAAACAGGCAAAGUGUAUUAUUCCUAACAACGGGAAUAUUAUUACUAUAAUUUACAACGUAAACACAUAUAAUCAAAAAUGGGAAUAAAAUCUAUUUCCCCUCUUUGGACCAGGGUCUUGGAUUACCAGUCCACCCAGUGAACUUGGGCCAGGUCAAAAAUCCCAGUGGCAAAAACCCAUAAUUGAGAAAAAAAGCACAUCUGGGUAAAUUCUAAGUGAGGGCCAUGACUGUGUAAACAUGUCAUCCCCUCACGUUGACAGCAUUAGUGACUUAUAAAACCUGCACUAUGUAAGUAAAUAGCUCAGGUAUCGGGAUUGGGAAACACUUCUUGAUUAGUUUGAAAAGGCCCACUUACAUAUUAAAUCAUAAGAUCAUUUCUAAUCAGUUUGCAAUUCUAGCAAUAAUCCCAAUCAUGACCUUGCAUCCUAUGCCUCCUAAUCAAAUCCCUAUUUCGAUAGUCCAGUCAUAUCCACACUUAAUACCUUGGAAUCCAUCCUUGGUACACUCAACAUACAUCAAUGACACACAUAGUACAUCCAUGCCUGAGUAAGCUAACACUUCCUCUCUCUCUGGCUAACUCUACAAAAAUAAAAAUAAAAAUAACAAAAUAGUUCAAUAGUCCAGCAUAGUCCAGAAAAAUAUUAUAAGUCUUUCAAGGAGUAUAAAGAAUCUUAGACACCAUAAACUUUGUUCCACAAUCUUAGACACCAUAACAUAGCUAAGGGUAGCAAUAUGGCUGACAACAAGACAAUGUCAGCUUCCACAUAGUUCUUAAUUCUUCUGUUUGCUGGAUGUUCACCACAAUACUCUGUGCAACACCCCAAUUGUUGAAAGGGUAAUACAGAAAUAGCGGCAUUAGACAGCACUGCAUCUUCAGGACUUUCCAAGUUAGUUUAUGUCCUCAUAACUAAGCAUCUCAGUUUCUUCGGCCAGCAUGGUUUUUGACCAAACAGAUUUAAUUGCAAAAAAAGGUAGGUCAGCCAGAGAGAUUGGUGUGCGGUCCCAAAUAUCAGGCAGCACAAAUACUCCAGUACGGUCUCUAUAAUCAUACAAACACAAGGAUCAGUACGGCAUCAAUAAAUUAAUUAUCUAGGCUAAACUCAAAUUAGAGACUAAAGUUAAACUCUUAACUAGUGUAACAUGUACGUCUCUCAGUUUUGUUUAUGUCCUUUAUGUUUAUGUUUUUGUAUUUGUCCUUUAUAAAAUUUUAAUACAUAAUUUCCCUUUAAAAUGCCUUUGUAUGGAUGAGAGAAGCACUCAUUCUAUAUAAAUGCUUGUUGAGUACUAAAACACUAACAUAUACAUAUUGGUAUAAUUCCCAAUAAAAUGCUGUUCUUAAACUUAAACCUUGAUUUGAUAAUCUCAAUUAAUUACUUUAAUAACAUUUUGUGGACCCUGAUAACAUCUUUGGAAACCAAAACCUUUUAUAGAUCCCGAUGUGUGUGAUCAUGUUUUAAUACAUGUUGGAACCUCCAUACAGUUAUCCCACUUAAACAAUAUAUUUUUUUUCAGAACAACUAGGAAUGAAAUAGGAGAAACAAAAUAAAUUACUAUUGUUCUAAAGUGCUUUGUUUAAUACAGGUUUAGGAAGAGUUGCAAGUGGCCUCUGAUAAGGAAGGGACAGCAAACUGUAGACAUAUGUUAUAUUAAGUUGCUCUCACUUGUCAGGUCUUGGAAACCCACUUAAUUUAUUGCAGAUGCCUCUAUUAUACCACUUUACAAAUUGACUAAGCAUACUUAUUAUCCUAUUUUAUUUUAGUUAUUUCACAUUGCACAGCCUAUGCAAACAAUGUCUAGGUCCCAACUUCAGCUUGUACAUCCUCUAAGAGCCAGCAUUAAUACUGUUUUAUCUAUCAAAACUAUAUAUAAAGUAUUAAAAACAUGAACCAUCUGUGUAUUAGGCUGAGGUUGUUGGGUGUGGGUAUAGCUUGAAAGUUUUGGUUGGUAUUGAGGAACCUGCCAGGGUGGGAGUCCUUGAAUGCCAGCUGGGCCAGGAGAACACAAGCACCUUGGGGUGAAUCCCUGCUACCCACAAUUAAAACAGUGCUGAAGUUACCAUCUCUACAAAAGUUAAAUCCUUUGAUCAAAUUCUCUACCUCUGCCUCUAAAACUUUUCUGAUUCAAUCUAUCGCCUCCAAACUUUCUUUGUCUCGCCUGCUUAAGAUCACAAUCCUUUUGUGACCGAUACAACAUACUUUUCCCUCUUUCUUUAUAUCCAAAACAACCUGCUGUAUCUUUCUCAUGUAUCUUCCCAAAAAAUUCAGUUCAAAGAGGGCCAGUCACAGACCAACAGUUUGACCAAAAGUGAACAAGGAGGAAGCAUAUUCCAUAUGAAGGUCGAGAUGACUUAACUCACACCCCCUCUUUGUGUACACCUAUUUGUGUACCACACAGAUAUAAUAUUAAUAGGCUUUUGAAGAUUUAUUGUGUUUGUAUAGCACGGUCUAGGGGUGUAUACAUAAACAGUGAAAGCAGAGUCUUCACAUAGGGUUUGCAAUACUGACAGUCUGUGUCAUAGGUGUAAUACAGACAUGCGGUUAGGAACUUUUCCAUUGUCAGAACACUAAUAUAUUGCAAAUAUUUAAAUCAUAUUGCAGCUGUUUCCUAUACCUGCAAGGAUAUGGUUUUAAUACUUCAAUUGAGUUCAAAUUGAGUAUCAAAAAUUCUAACCACAAAAACUAAACUUUAUAUGCUUAUCAAAAUUAGUUUAACCCCUUAGCAAUUUAAUAGGGUGACCUCUUCCCAUAGUAUGGUUCCUUUUAUUAUUAUUAUAUUAUUUAUUCUCUUCUGGGUCUGCAAAAUGCUUUCAAUAUACCAAUACAAAUAUAAUACAGUAGUUUAGAAUUGCCUCAAAAGAAAUUAUCUGAUCUCUAUUAAAAUACCAUUUCAUCAUUUUCCUAUAAUCAAUGAGGCAUACUAGAUGAAUCUUAAUCUUGGAAAAAACCUAUCCUAUACAUCCAUAAUUUUUCUUGUUAUAUAACCAUAUAACGUAACACAUUUUUCUUUUCUUAAAUAAUGCAAUGCACUUUAAAAGUAGCGUUAACUCUAAAUACUCCCCUAAUAAUACUGAAACGUGGAUCCACGAUUUUGAAAAGCAAAUGAUAUAUUUUUCUUUUUCUUUCCCAGGGACCCCUUUCUUGUUGGCUGAUCAGCGUUUUUUUUAAUCUGUUGUAAAAAGACACUAAAGGCUUGCGUUAAUGACAUGCAAAUAUUCUUUAAAUAUUCUUCAUUUUUAGCACAGAAAACAUGUAGCAGAUAUCCAGCAGACAUGCCAAUACAAAAAGCAUAUUCAUGGACAGGCAAUUAACUCAAUCCAAAAUAAAUUAAUAAAUGUCACACUAUGUGACAGACAUAAUUUGGUUCUCAUGUUUGUGCAUUAUGCAUGUCUGCAAACAAUGCAAGCAGUACUGCUUUAAGAUUAGAUCAGAGCACCUGGCAACUGGAAAAGUCAAAUUUUGGCAGGAAGUCCAUUAUUGCAACAGAAUUUUGGAAAUCAGCUAAAAUUUACAAAAACAGACUCCCUCCUUUUUCUUUCUUAAGACUACAACUCAUAUUGCUCUUGGACUAGUAUUCAAUAAUAAAUCAGUUAUUUAAUAGAUUAUUACGCUGCCAUUUUCAUCUGUAUCAAUACUAAGACAAACUUAUUCAAAUAUAAUUUAAAAUAACACAGUAAAAUACCCAUUAACAUACAUGACAAUUAAACUGCGCACUUCAAAAUGAGUAACCAAAACAAACAUUUAUGACAAUCAUCAUUCACACAGAAUAAACUUCUAACAGCUGUAUUCAGAACAUAUUAUUGUAAGGUAUACCAAUUCUAGUUUGUAUCAGAUUUAUUUAAGAUUUCUGGUACCAAAGGGUUUAUUUUUUCUUUUUUAAAGAAGGGAUCCCGUACGGCCAUAUAACACGUUUGACUUAAACAUUUGUAUAACACUUGCAUUAACCAGUUGCGACAUAUGAAACCUGUCAAUGGAAUUUCUCUCUUAUACGCUUAUAGAACAUUUGGACCAGAUUACACAGACAUGGUAUCACCUGCAUUUGUCAGAACUCUCAAAGACUCAAAAUAUUUAUACUACUCCAUGUUAAAGGCAUGGCAAAAUUUUGACCGGUCAAUUUGAGUUUCCAAAAGUCAUAUCAACACAGGUUAAAACCUUUGUCCAUGGUUUUCUGAUCCUACAUUCCAUGACCAAAAUUUCAAACCCACUUCUUCACAGUUUGGGUCGCAAGCAAUAAAAUCUCAGCAACCCCAUACAAUAAUUUACAGAAUACAUACAAUUUAAAGCACAUACAACAUGUGACUUACUGGAAUACUACAAGUUAGCUUACAGCACAAUAUGAAGCAUGUCUUGGAACGCUGAAAAUAUACAUUUUGCUCUCUAAUUUAUAAUCUUCUAAAUUUACAACAUAAGUUCUCUGCAACAAACACUCAGGGCAGAAAGAAUGUGGUGUUUGACGUUUUGAAUGAAGUGACUUUUUGUCCCAAUAUGAAAAUAAAGGGCUCAUCAUAUAAACAAUCAUACAUCCCACUCUCAUGAAAAAGUGUAGUGGGCUUAUAGUACUUUUGUCCAAGUAUAAAAAUAAGGGGCUCAUUAUGCAAACAAACAUACAUGCAGAGAAAUCAUGUUAGUUCUAGAAUUUGUAGCCCCCUUAAAUAACCUCUAGUUUUUUUCUUAUUCAUCAUCACCUUUACAUGUACUUUUGACAUUCCCUCAAUUAAGACUUUAUGCUUAAAAUCAGCGUUGCACAUCAUAAAAUAGCACAUAAAUUAGCAAGCCGGAGUAAUGCCAAACAUCCAUCAUACCUUUUAACCCCCUUUUUUUUUUUAAACCAUUUUAGUCUGCCAAAUUGACAUCUACGUUAAAUAAAUACCACAGUCCACCAAAGACUGGAAAUCUGUUUUACAACCUACCAAAGGCAACCUCUACCAAAGAGGGAUCUAGGGACGUCUCCCAUAUGUAAAUGUACAUCACAGGUACAUCACAGCCUACCAAAGGCUUGAAAUUAUUUUUAACACCUGGCCAAAGGUGAACCUCUUACCUAAGAGGAAAUGUGCACAAUAACUACUACUACCUACCAAAGGCAAUCCUCCAACCCGUGGAGUAAUAGAAGUCUACCUAAGACUUAACAAAAUACCAUGUCUACCAAAGACAUUAUCCUGUGAAAAUCCCCUUUAAAAAUGUAAAUAGUGAAAAACCCCAUUAAAACAAGAAAUGCAAUGUGUGGGAGGAUGGCAGAAGCAGGCAAAGGUCCCCAACCCCCUAAGGACACACAACAGAAAUACUCCGUCAUGAUACCCUUAAAUUCCAGAAGUUGUGUCCCCAAGGGGCUAAAGACCCCCUUACCUGCAACUCCGUUCCUAAUUGCACCCAAACUUCUGACACCAAUUUGUUGGGGAUAAAAUCAGCCUGGGCCCUUUGUGGAUGAUGGAUAUUUGCCAACUCAUACAGAGCUCUGGAAAUUGGAAAUGAAUAGCAGAGACGUGUUCAAUAACCAAUUCAAAUUGUAUUCAUACGUCAGUUAUAUUUAUAACCCAUUUUCAUAGCAGGAUGGGAGGGGGAAAAAUGAGCAUAUGGGCGUGACAAUGACAUUGUUUUUCACAAGUUAUAAACAGCUGUUUUUAGUUAUAAUUCGAUGUUACAUAAUGUAUGCAUAUUGGAUAAAACCCAGAUGAUUACAAAUACAGAAAUCUUGGACAAUUAACAAGGUCAUUCCAGAAUCCUUAUCAUGUCAUGUCAUGUCAUGUAAAUAACAAAAUCAUGUUCCAAUAACAUCUCCCGUAAAUAGAUAAGUCAUUGUGACAUGAGAUACAAUUCAAAAUUUAUUCUUGAUUCAAAUUAACCCUUACAUGAACAGUUAGGAUAUAGAGCAAAAUGGAUAUUCAUAUCCUACAAUACUAUUUCAAAGUAAUUUAUUCAGCAAUAUAUUUGUUUUACUACUAAUAAUAAUGAAAUUAAAAUUGUAUAUAAUUUUUUUAUCACUAUGCAAUGUAAGUGUUAAUUAUCAAUGUGAAUUUCUCUUUUUUGAGAUAACCUAAGAAAAUGAAUUUUGCCUCCAAGAAGAGGUUCAUUAUUUAAUUUCUCUGUCACAAAAAAAUGUGUGCCAUUCUUUUUUUUUUACAAUUGAUUUUUUUAUUUUAUUGAAUUUUCAGAUAAUUGGGGUACAGAACAAGAGAAGGAAGGGAGAGUUGUCAAUAAUUUGCAGAUUCCGAUGUUCAAUUUGGGUACAGAACAGAAAAAGAAAGGGAAGGGUACGACAUCAAUACAUUUGCAGUUUGAACAAUAAACCAUGUUUGGCAACGCAGUGCCUUCGUUAACAUUGCAGAAGUAUAGCCUCUUUGAUGGGAUUGUUAUCUGGUGUAUGCAUUCCGUUGCCUGAACUAUAUAAGAAUAUUCACGCAGUUGUUUGUUAUAUGGCAUUCUUAAUUCUACACUGAUUUUCGGCCUCUACUGACUUGGUGCCCCAAAUUUCCCCUACUCCCCGAUCCCAAAUGUUGCUAUGAUUUUCGUGGUUCCCUGUCCUCCUCUAUCUUGAUCCUUUCCGUAUAUUCUACCCACCACUGUUUGGCUUUAAACAUGUGUUGCAAUGUGCCAUAUUUUGUGUUAAGCUUUGUUUCAUAUUCUAUGUUAGUGGUUAUUUGGCUGAUUAGGACAAGGACUUAAUUCAGAGCUGGAUUACCGGUUAGGCAAACAAGGGGGCCGCCUAGGGCCCAGGUUCAGACAGUUUAAAAAGCUAAUUGAUUAAAUUAGUGAUCUAUAUUCACACAGAUGUUCUUUCAUAUCAUGAAUGCUGACAAAGUCCUUAGUUCUUAUAUUCUGGCUUUGCAUGUCAUGGGGUUGUCUGGGUAGCGGCUGGAAGACUUGGCUAAAAUGGAGCUUGUUGACUUGAGACUGGCUGACACGGGACAGGUUGGCUCUGGGCUGGUUCUGGCAUAACAGGGUUCAAAAAGGCUGUUAAUGGAAAAUAAACUUAAAAACUUGACGGCUGUAUGUAAAUUCUAUAGAUUGCCUUAAUCAAACUUGGACUUUGUUAAAAUUGUGUGAUAGAAACAUAUGCUUAUAUAUUUGAGAGAGAGAGAGCGCGAGGGCGAGAGAGGAAGAAAUUUAUAAUUGUCACUAAGUGGUUUAAUUAAUAAGAGAUUUUGUUUUGUUUUGUUUUGUUUUUUGCAAAUCCAAUGAGGGAGAUUUUCUGUGUCCAUAUGUAUUUUGAUGACGACUAUCGGAUGAUUAAAUUAAGAUCAAGGCAAUUUAUGUCAAUGCUAAACAACAACCCACAGUCACUUGUGUAUACAAAAUAGAGGAUACCUGAGUGUUUAGUAAAUUAGUCAGUUUUUAUAUGAUAUAUAGGUCUGGGAUGUAUCCAAUCCUAUUUAAGAGGUAAAUAGGAAUUAAAGAAGUAUUUAGAUAUGUCAUAAUAAAGGGCUCAAGAAAAAGAAGAGUGACUCCUAACUUAUAAUGAAGUUGAAGAGGGCAAGAAGGGAAGAAAAGGGAACGGAAAGGCAGGGCCGCCAUCAGGGGGUGACAACCGUGAUGGUUGUCACGGGCCCGGUGGCCCUGGGGGCCCGGCCGCCCGGGCCCCAUGUGGAGCGGCGAAACUGCCGCAGAUGCAUCUGCACCGGGGCCCACCAGGUGGCCCAAGCAUUUAGGGCCACCCGAUGGGCCCUGUAUCUUCAGGGGCCCGGUCAGCGCUGCGCCGGGUGAUUGCGCGACCGGGCCCCUUUAAAAAAAAAAAAAAAAGGCUAAACACCGCAAGUGCUGCUGGGAGGAAGUGACGGCUGGUCACUUCCUCCCAGCUUACUCCGCGCGAGGGGAGAGCGGAGGAGAGGACAGGACAGGGACACCAGAGGCAUCCACUCCCAUCAUCCCCAGCCACCCUCCUGCAACUUAAAGGUAAGAGGAGGGUGGCUGAUAAAUGAGGUGUGUGUGUGUCUGCAAGUAUGUCUGUAUGUCAGUAUGUCUGUGUGUAUGUCUGUCUGUGUGUGUGUGUGUAUGUCAGUAUGUAUGUAUGUCUGUGUGUAUGUCUGUGUGUAUGUCUGUGUGUGUGUAUGUCUGUGUGUGUAUGUCAGUAUGUAUGUCUGUGUGUAUGUCUGUCUGUGUGUGUGUGUAUGUCAGUAUGUAUGUCUGUGUGUAUGUCUGUCUGUGUGUGUGUGUAUGUCAGUAUGUAUGUCUGUGUGUGUGUAUGUAUGUCUGUGUGUGUGUGUGUGUAUGUCAGUAUGUAUGUCUGUGUAUGUCUGUGUGUGUGUAUGUCAGUAUGUAUGUCUGUGUGUGUGUGUGUAUAUGUCUGUGUGUAUGUCUCUGUGUGUGUGUAUGUCAGUAUGUAUAUCUGUGUGUGUGUAUGUCUGUAUGUAUGUCUGUCUGUAUGUCUGUCUGUGUGUGUAUAUGUAUGUCAGUAUGUAUGUCAGUGUGUAUGGGUGGGUGUGUGUGUGUAUGUCAGUGUGUAUGUAUGUCUGGGUGUAUGUCAGUGUGUAUGUCUGUGUGUAUGUCUGUGUGUCUGUCUGUGUGUCUGUCUGUAUGUCAGUAUGUAUGUCUGUAUGUAUGUCUGUGUGUGUGUAUGUCUGUCUGUCUGUGUGUGUGUAUGUCUGUGUGUAUGUGUGUGUGUCAGUAUAUCUGUGUCUGUGUGUGUGUCAGUGUGUAUGUCUGUGUGUAUGUCAGUAUGUAUGUAUGUAUGUAUGUGUGUAUGUCUGCAAGUAUGUAUGUCAGUAUGCAUUUCAGUAUGCAUGUAUGUCUGUGUGUGUAUGUCAGUAUGUCUGUGUGUAUCUGUGUAUGUAUAUAUCUGUGUGUAUGUCUGUGUGUGUAUGUAUGUAUGUAUGUAUGUAUAUGUUUGUAUGCCAUUAUGUAUAUAUGUCAGUAUAUAUUUAUGUGUAUGUAUGUCUGUAUGUCAAUUUGUAUGUAUGUCUGUUUGUCAGUAUGUAUGUGUCAGUAUGUGAGUAUGUAUGUACAACAGUGUGUGUGUCUGUAUGUCAGUGUGUGUGUGUGUGUAUCUGUGUAUGUAUCUAUAUGUAUGUCUGUUUCAGUAUUUGUGUCUGUUUGUGUAUCUUUCUGUGUGUCUGUGUCCUUUUGUGUCUGUGUGUGUGUAUUCCUGUGGGCGGGAUUUGGGAGCCCAGACCUUGAGCUGUGUUAGGGGCCCCACAAUUUCUGAUGGCGCCCCUGCGGAAAGGAAUAUUUUUUUUUCUUUUUCUCUCUCCCUGCCCUCUUGAUAGACUUAACCCCUUAAGGACACAGAUUCAGAAGCUUGUCUUACGCUUAAUGACACAAGCAAUUUUUGCAUUUUCUUGCUAUAUGCGUUCAACUGCAAUUUGCAUCUCUCUCGUUUAUUGCACCGACACAUAUUAUAUACUGUGUUUUAAAGGACAGAAAGGGCUUUAAUUUGAUGUAAUAUAUAUAUAUAUAUAUAUAUAUAUAUAAAUGCUUAUUUAUUAUUAAAAAAUUACAGAAAAGGGAAAAAAAAGGAAAACAAUUGUGUUUCUUUUACAGUUUUUGCAAUAAUAAUGUGUGCCUAAUUAGUGCAGGUUAAAGAAAGUAAUUAAAUAUAAAUUAAUUUAGUUGUUCUGAUUUACAGAAUAUAUAAUGUGUCUGGGAUUUUAAGUUUUUUUUGGUAGUUACAGGUCACAAAGCACAAGGAGUAAAAUAAACUUUUAAUGUGGAGCGAUUUUAGAAUUUGGUAUGUUUGUCUUGUAAGCUUAAUAGCCAUAAAAGAAAACAAAAUUGCCACACAAAAGUAUAUAUUUAUAUAAAGUAGACAUCACAGGCUAUUGUCCUAAGGUUGUUUUGACACUUUCUACGUAGCCAUUUCACCGCCAAUCUCUGCUAAAUAUUGGAGUAAAAUUUUGUUUUUUUGGCACACAAACUUAUAACAAAGAACUUCUCAUGUGUAUUUUGUAAACUUGGUGUGUGCUAUUCCUGUACAAAGUUUUAUUUUGUGUUCAGUUACUUCUGCUGAGUACAACGAUACCCCCAUUGUAUGUCUUUGGCACUAUUUCAUGAAGCUACAGUGCCGUAUAGGAGACCUGUCCGUUUCAACAUUUACAGUAGAAUUUUGAGAGGCAGAUUAAAUGGGCCUAUUUGGGGUAUUAUAGCAGUUUAACUGUUCAAAAAACCCCCACAAAGGCCCACCAUUUGUAAAAGUAGUAGGGUAUCUCAUAUGGUGCAUAUUGUGCCUUAGCAUGCCUCAAUUUUUUUCACCAAUAUAUGCCAAAGUAUGUGGUAAAAAAUAAUUUGGGGCAUUGUUUACAUACAGAUUACAUUUUUGCUGGGCAUUUUGUACAUUUCAUAUGUGCCACUAAGUUCAUCCCCCCAAAUUAUGCUCAACUAAGUCUUCUGAGUAAAACAAUAUGCCAAAUGAAUGACCUAGACACUAUUUUGUGAAGUUACACUGCUGUAAAAGAGACGUGACAAGUUAAGGUUUUUUUUUUUUAAAUUCUUUAUUUUUCUUGUGCAUAAGAAAACAUAACAGGCCUGUAGCGCCAUGACAGCUAGUACAGGCAUUUCAAUAGCAAACAUUGUCAUAGCAGAGUAAUACAGCACAUUUUUUAUAUUUAUGAGAGAAAACAGGCUAGAAAUACUUGAGUAUGACUUAGAUAGUGUAGUUAGUCUACGUAUGCAAGCUUGCAUAUCAGUGAUGGGAUUAUAGGGGGGAAGGCUUUUGUAGAAGCAUAACACAAUGUUUAAUCAUGACCUGCACGAGGGGGUCACAACAUUUACUCAUAUGCAUGGAUACUCGUAGACACCCCUAUCCACUAAAUAUGACUACCAUUUUAUGAUGUUAUAGAAACAAGAUGGCCUCAAGCUAUACCGUCAUGUCUAACUACGAGAGUAAUGCAAGGAGGGCCUAGUACAGUAUAUCAUAUUUGUUAUGCUUGUUAAUUGUUGGGAGCCAAGACUUCUAGCUAGACAUGUUAAGAUAUACAAGUGUAACUGUAAGUAAACAUGCUAUCGAGUUAGUGCACCCCUGAGUGCAUUAUUAGUAGUACGCCGCGCUGCAGUGUCAUUAGACAGCUUGAGGAGAGAUAGCAGAAAUGAUAAGCUAAUUAAAAAAAGAAAAACAUAAUACACAAGAUUUUGUGCUUGGCAUUUAAAGACAAAAAUUGCGUCGUUAAGGAGAAAGUCCAGCCCGGUGUCAGUCCCAUAAGCUAGCUUAGCCGAUUCCGUCAGGUGGUAGGGUAGCUGGAUCGCUGGAGUUGGUGGCACUGUGAGGCGCGUUGUCUCCUCGGCCCCAGGAUUGCAGGAUCGCCGGCAUCUGUGAACCACAGACUUGGAUUCGUCGAGGGACCAAGUUUUUCCCCAUCUCAGGGGUGGCGGGGGUAGUGAGGAUUUGUCUCAGCCAGUGCGCGGUUCUCCGCCCGCGUGGACGAUGCUUGGAGGACUUGCCUCGUGUGGCUCUCCGUCUGGGCGAGCGGUAGUGAGGUCUCGGGAGCGUUGUUUUAUAUGUGGUGCCCUGAGGAGGCUUUACCAUGCUGGAGUGCUUCAUUCUCCGGUUUCCCUUCGGCGGCACUGAGCUGUGAGCAGUGGCUUGCAGACGGGCUUGUACCCUAAGCCAAAAGGCCUGGAAGAUUUGAUCCAGCCGCUUCGAUGUGUAGGUAUAGGCGUCGCUGAGUGUCCCCUCUGUUGCAGCUGUGCCACGUGUUGUCGUGCGGGCUGCGUCCGCCAUUGUGGGAAUAUGGAUGUCUGUGUGAUCUGCUGCAGGGGUAACGUUGCUGCAGCUAACUGCUCUCCGGGUGGGACCGGGAUAUCCCCCGCCGGUCCAGAGGGGGGGGAGGGGGGUGUGGAGUCGUGCUUAACUUAGCUUUAUUCAGCGGAAGGAGAGCGGCCGUCUCUCCCUCGGUCUGAGUCCAGUAGGCCUCAACCUGCCGUUGCGGUUCCUGUCGCCUUAGGGUGUUGAUUAAGGUAUCCACCUGUAGGGUUAGGUGCCCCCAGCUUGGGAAUCCCCUUGAGUAGAGGUCACCAAGUUGUCAACCCAGGAUAUCACCGGGUAUUCGGCAUUAACAGCAGGAGCUUGUGUGAUGCACGUCUUGCCUGCUUGCAGUCCAGGCUCCGCCCCCCAAGUUAAGGUUUUUAAUUGUGAAUUUUCAUGGAGGGUUUUGAUGCGUCCGUGUCCCACUUUGGGGCACUUGAGCAGGCUACAUAUUACAACUACACCAUAAAAGUAUACCAUUUCUUAAAUAACACAUCCCAGGGUAUUUCAAAAGGCAUAUUUUGAACCUUAGCUUGGGAUAAUUUUUCCGCUUGCUUGUGCCAAGUGUAGUGUAAUAAGCGUUUUUUUGCCUUUUUGACACAUAAAGUGAGUUUGCACAGUAUAUUUUGCAAAUCGUAUGUGUUCUACGACUGUAUAAUACUUCAUAUGUUGCUUAGCUAUGUCGGCUGAGUACAGCAAUACCCCUGUAUGUACCUUUGCCUGGUAUAUGUGGACAUCGGAGGGGCACAUUUGGGACACAGCCAUUCCAGUUCUUUUCAAACUUUAAAUUUUUACACUGUGCCCAUGUCGCAUUUUAGAGCAUUUUACCAGGCUAAAUAAUCCAAAUACCCCAUAAAGCCAUACCAUUUCUUAAAGAAGACAUCCCAGGGCAAUUCAAAAGGCAUAUUUUGAACCUUAGCGUGGGAUCAUUUUUCCGCUAGUUUGUACCAAGUGUAGUGGUAAUAGGCAUUUUUUCUGCCUUUUUGACACACAAAGUGAAUUUGCACAGUAUAUUUUGCAAACCUUAUGUGUACUACGACUGUAUACUACUUCAUAUGUUGCUCAGCUAUGUCGGCUGAGUACAGCAAUACCACCGUAUUGUGGUAGUGGUAAUGAUCAUUUUUUAAUGUAUUUUUUUACUUUUUAAAACUUUUUUUACUUUGUAAAACCUGUUUUUAAACUUUUUUUUACUUAUUAAAUGUUUUACACUUUCUUAACUUUUUUACACUUUUAAUGUUUUUUCUAAACUUUUCUUUUACCGUUAACCCCUAACUAGCAGUAAGCAGCACUAACAGUAAAUUUGUAAAUUCCCCCCUUUCCCAUAACUCCCACCCACUCCAGCUAGCAAACUAUAUACAAUUAUAAAAUAUUUAAAUUAAUUACUAAAUAAAUUGAACCCCUGAGGGUUAAAAAAUAAAUAAAAAUUAAUCCUCAGUUAAAAGAAAUUCAAUUACAGUAUAAUACAGUGAUCUGUAUUUUGAUCACUGUAGGCAAUGAUCAGCUGGCAGGGAAGGGGUUAAUUUUUAUUUAGACUGUGUCUAAAUAAGGGGGGAUGGUAUAUAUAUAUUUCUUUACUUAAACAUUACUAAAACAUUUUUUAAAAACUUUUUUUACCUUUUUAAAGCUUAUUUUAAAACUUUUUUUAACGUUAACCCCUAAUUAGCCUAUCACCAAAUUCCCCAAUUCCCCACUAACAUCCACCCAUCCCAGCUAGCUAAAUAUAUAAUUUUUAAAUAUUUAAAUUAAUUAAUAAAAUAAAUUGCCUCUAAUACAGAGGCAGACCGGAGCACCGUUAACCCCGCGAUUGACGGGAUUGCCGCGAUCGCCGGGAUUGCCGCAAUCUGGGGUUAACUUUAGUAAAUGACAGAAAUUUUCCGUCAACGGUCCUUAACUGAAGGACAAGGUUGACGGAAAAUUUCCAUCUGCAGUCGGGAAGGGGUUAAAGGACCACUAUAGUGUCAGGAAAACAAACCUGUUUUCCUGGCACUAUAUAAUCCUUAGGGUCCCCCCACCCUCAGGGCCACCCUCCUGCUGGGCUGAAGUGGUCUGGGUGGCUUCUAGUGGUCCUUUAAUAGUAAUAUACUCAUUUGAUCUAAUUAGUGUUUUUUUUUAAUUGGUUGUAUUUAUCCAUUGAAGAAAUAUUAUGAGGUGGAGUUAUAAACAAUGAUAGAUUAUCCAGUACCCGUGGGCCAUGAAAUAAUUUAUAUAGGGUGAGAAAAAUAGCAUAGAAAAGGCAAUAUUAACUUUAAAAUGCACUGCAAGUGAAGAACUGGAACACGGGUAAAUACUUCAAUAUUCUGUGCCCAUAGGCAUUCAAAAUAUUUGGGAUCCACAAAUGCCACCACAUUUCUAGAAUGUUAUUUCUUUAAAUACGCUGUAAUAUAAUGUAAUUGAAAUGUAAGCAUUGUUGGCUAGCAUCUAUAUUGUUAUAGGCUAUUGCCUGGAAUAGUCCCAGAGCCUCCCCACAGGACUAAACGUCCAUGUUCCAGUACAAUAGGUGAGGGAGGAUGCAGCAGGUACACGCACUCCGUACGAGUCAGAGAUAUUUCUCGGAGCUCUAGCGUAAAAACUGGUUUCUCUAGCAAGUGUAGAGGGAAUUAAGUGGGUGUUAUUGUAAUGACAUUGGUGUAUGUUUUUUUUUUCUUAAUGUAAUGUAAUGCAAUACCAAUACACGUAUCUGUGCACACCCAAUGCUUUCUUAUUAACAGGCAGUCAUUUGUUUGGAGUUCAGAGGAAAAGACAACAUUUCGGCACUGUCCUGUGCCUUUUUCAGACUUGACAAAGGUACGGCAUGGGAUAGUGUUGAAAAGUUUUUUCCUCUGAAUUCCAAAUAAAAGACGGCCUGUUAAGAAGAAAGCAUUGGGGGGGCCUAGAUGUAUGUAUUUGUUUGGGUUGGAUUGAUUAUGAGUUGACCCGUAUGGUUUGGAAUAUCCAGGUGGGAGUAUUCCCCAAGUGAGUGUGUGCAUUGCCUCCUACACGCUGCAUCUCUUUGAAAUGCUUGAUAAUAGAUUUACCAAUGGUAGAAAGAGGAUCCAAGCACUCCAAGUAUCUUGUACAACAGAAAUGGUAGGCACUCACUAUUGCGUGCAAAAUAAAUUACGAGUACCGGCUGCAGUAAACAAUACAAGGAUUCCCAGACCUCGUGAAUGAACAGAUAACAAGAAAAAUAGCGUCUAGCGCGCCCAGUUUGAAUAUACAAAAAGUUAUAAGUACAUAGAUCUUCAGAUAACUUUAACACAGUAGACCUCAGAAUAAUUUAUUAUUGUUAUAUCUCUUUUAUUCUGAGGUCUACUGUGUUAAAGUUCUGAAGAUCUAUGUCGGUAUAACUUUUUGUAUACUCAAACUGGGUGUGCGGUAGACGCUAUUUUUAACAACUCCAAGUAUCUUCAACAUGGUGUCUCACUUGUCCCAAUAAACACAUUUGAAGAUACGUGGAGUGCCUGUAUCCUCUUUCUACUGAUAUCUACUCCCUGGGGCUGGUGCUGGCCCUCGGUCCAGUUUAGUAACCGGAUCUUCACGUGAUUGGAGUGCGGUUAGUUUUUUUCUCUUUUUGCAAAUACUGAUAAUAGAUUUACAACAUAAUAAUUCUCAUAAAAUAAUUAACAUAAUUUCAGAAUUGGUAGUUACAGGAACGUCUAUAUGGGGGCUCUCGUGUCGGCUACAGAGAACACAUUUGUUAUGGCUGUGGAAUAGUUAAGCUCUUUCAAUACUAUAAGAAAGGAUUUCCAUAGCCUGGUUUACAGUAAAUUACAUCUUCUUUGUUUAGAUAAAGAACCUGAUAUUUAUUCAAGUACUCAUUGGGUGCACAAAACACGGAUAGUUUAUGCUUGUGACUUCAUUUUUUCGAGUUAGAUUAUUCUUUUUUUUUUCUCAUUUAAAAAAUAUAUAUGUUCAGAGCUUUGAGCUAGUUUUACAGUAAAGAGCUUACUUUGCAUUUAUGAACGUUUCACUAGAUUCAUGAUAUAACGUUGGAGGUUUGGCUUCAUAUAAGAAAACAUUCUUAUAUUAGCUAUUUUUAAGGGGAGGUUAUUUGCUAUUAUUUAGAAAUACUCCCUAUCUGCCCCGGCCUCCCCAAUAUUACAAUGAUCAUCAAUAGGUUUAGGUAUGUAACAGUUCUAUUUACUGUUUCUGAUAGGUUUGUGAGGUCUGAUUUAGUUUUAGGUUAAUUAAUUUUACAGAUUUUUACAAUGAUUCCUGUGAAUUAUUUCUUCAUUAUACUAUUAUAUAUAAUAAUGUAAUAAUUGUAUGACACCAUGAGACAUGCUGGAUGUAUGAAGGGGUGUGUAUAUUCCAUUCAGUCAUUGAACAAGGUUACAAUUAAAAUUCUAGUUCUGUACAUUUGUUUUAGGUAAAUUCAAUAACAGAGAUGAAAAGCAAUAAUACGUUGCGUUAAAUAAUUUAAUUUAUUAUGAUUAAGUUAAUUUGAUAGUAAACAGAAUAAGAGAUUUAAUCAGUAAAUAAGCAGCAUAUAUUGGCAUGCAAUUAUUUUCAAGCACAAGCUUCCUUGCAGCCUUAAAUUCUAAAUUCUUAUUUCAUGUAAACUGACUAUACAUGACUGGCUGGCUGACUCUUGGCUGGCUGACUCUUGGCUGAUUGACUCACAGCUGGUUGGCUCACAGCUGGCUGGCUGUUUGCUGGCUGAGUUUGGGCUGGUUGACUCCUAGCUGGCUGGCUGAUGGCUGGUGGCGUUUUGGCUGGUGGACUUACAGCUGCUUGGCUCACAGUUGAUUGGCUCUUGGCUGGCUGAGCUUGGGUUGGUUGACUCACAGCUGGUUGACUAUUGGCUGGCUGUGUUUCAGCUGGUUUGCUCACAGCUGGUUGACUCUUGGCUGGCUGAGCUUGGGUUGGUUGACUCAUUGCUGGUUGACUCUUGGCCGGCUGAGUUUGGGCUGGUUGACUCACAGCUGGUUGGCUAAUUGCUGGUGGGCUCUUGGCUGGCUGUGUUUCAGCUGGUUUGCUCACAGCUGGUUGGCUAUUAGCUGGCUGAGUUUGGGCUGGUUGACUCACAGCUGAUUGGCUCUUGGCUAGCUGAGUUUGGGCUGGUUGGUUCACAGCUGGCUGAGUUUGGGCUUGUUGACUCACAGCUGAUUGGCUCUUGGCUAGCUGAGUUUGGGCUGGUUGGUUCACAGCUGAUUGGCUCUUGGCUAGCUGAGUUUGGGCUGGUUGGUUCACAGCUGGCUGAGUUUGGGUUGGUUGACUCACAGCUGGUUGACUGAUAGCUGGUUGGCUCUUGGCUGGCUGAGUUUGGGAUGGUUGACUCAUAGCUGGUUGGCUCUUGGCUGGCUGAGUUUGAGCUGCUUGACUCACAGCUGGUUGGCUAACAGCUGGUUGGCUCUUGGCUGGCUGUGUUUCAGCUGGUUUGCUCACAGCUGGUUGGCUUUUGGCUGGCUGAGUUUGGGCUGGUUGGUUCACAGCUGGUUGGCUUUUGGCUGGCUGAGUUUGGGCUGGUUGGUUCACAGCUGGCUGAUUUUGGGUUGGUUGACUCACAGCUGGUUGACUGACAGCUGGUUGGCUCUUGGCUGGCUGAGUUUGGGUUGGUUUGCUCACAGAUUGUUGGCUCUUUGCUGGCAGAGUUUGGGCUGGCUGACUCACAGCUGGCUGAGUUUGGGCUGGCUGACUCACAGCUGGUUGAUGCUUAGCUGGCUGGCAUGCAGUUGGCUGAGGUACCACAGGUUCCACUGGAUCUA